CUGUAUUCUUACUUGGGCUAUAAGGCUGUAUUUUCCCCAUCUUUGAAAAAAAUUUUUUUUUUCCUCUCACAACACCCUUCCUGUUUCCAAUUAUGUGCCAUCUCUUUCAAGCAUCUAAUGAUUUUGAUAAUUUAAUUGGUUAUAAAUUCAAUGGGAAAAAAUCUUAUUUAGAUUCUGUGCCAGGUGCUGAGGGAACUCCUGGUAAGUAUUAAAUUUAGAGGUAUGUGUGUCGAAUUAAGGGAGGACAGAAAAAGAAAUAGGGAAAUUAGGACUGGGAAGAGAGAGAAGUAACUUUUGAGGUAGUCCUUGAGGAUGGAUAGAAAUUCCCUGGAGUGGCAGGACCCUUCUUGCCACUAUAUCAAAUUAUGUCAUUCUGACAGGAAAGAUCUAGAAUACAGGUGCCUGAUAUCCAGGGUAUCUGGGGUAAAAGGACACAUGUCUAUAACUGCAAAUGGAGUCAGAUGGUGAGAGGUGGGGAGUGAGGAGUGGCUUUAUGAUCUGAAGGACAUAUUCUGUGGGCAGUAGUUGUGAUCUUUGGGAGCCCUUGCAGUAUUAGAUCUUUUGGAACCUGAUGACUUUUGAGUUUUCUUGUGAAGGUUAACUUCCUCAGGCCCAUUUAGUGUUCUUUCUUAUGCUCUUUGUUUACCCUAGGGGCCAAUAACCAUUGACUUGCUUUCCUUCUUUUUUGUUCUUUUUAGAUACACAUGACCGUAGAAUGUAAUUUUUUUUAGUUGUAGAUGGAUCCAAUAUCUUUGUUUAUUUUUAAUGUGGUGCUGAGAUUCAAACCCAGUGCCUCAUGCAUGCAAGGCAAGUGAUCUACCACUGAGCUACAAUCCCAGUCACCGUUUUAUUUUGACAUGUUGCACAGAUAUAGAUUAUGGUUUAUUCUAAUUCUGUUCUUGGGGUUGUACAUGAUGUGGACCUAACUUUGGUUGUGUAGUC
rnacentral:lncRNA from 1 species